UGUGUCCAGCGAUUUCAGGGCACAGUCUGCAGCUGGUGGCACAACUCUCAGGGCUAUAUAAUGAUGUAUGGCUUGUUCUUCGUGGCCCUCUGCAAAAAAAAAAAUAUGAAUUUCAGAACGUGAACAACUAGCAGACAUCUGCUGCAUUAAGAGGGAAAAGUCAGAGCUAACUAGUUUAUCUUGGAACCUAGGUGGAGAAUGACAUUGAAAUAUGAACCAAGCAAAGACUGGAAAGGUGAAGGUCAUCAUUGGCCAACGUCUUCCUUCUCAGUUACUAAAACAAGUCAUGGGAUUAAGUCACGAUCAUCACCCCAUGUGACACUGAAAGGAAUGAAGAGACUAUAUUGGAUAUUCAGUUAAUUGUAUGUCCCAUGCU
rnacentral:lncRNA from 1 species